CCUACGGGAGGCAGCAGUGGGGAAUAUUGCACAAUGGGGGAAAGCCUGAUGGAGCAACGCCGCGUGCAGGAUGAAGGCCUUCGGGUUGUAAACUGCUUUUAUAAGCGAGAAAUAUGAUGGUAACUUAUGAAUAAGGAUCGGCUAACUACGUGCCAGCAGCCGCGGUCAUACGUAGGAUCCGAGCAUUAUCCGGAGUGACUGGGUGUAAAGAGUUGCGUAGGUGGCAUAAUAAGUAGCUAGUGAAAUCUGGUGGCUCAACCAUUCAGACUAUUAGCUAAACUGUUAAGCUCGAGACCGUUAGGGGUAACUGGAAUUUCUAGUGUAGGAGUGAAAUCCGUAGAUAUUAGAAGGAACACCAAUAGCGUAGGCAGGUUGCUGGGACGGUUCUGACACUAAGGCACGAAAGCGUAGGGAGCAAACGGGAUUAGAUACCCUGGUAGUC
rnacentral:rRNA from 1 species